GAGUUGUUAGGUGUGGAUAAUUAGAUUAUAGUUUAUUGCAAUAGCAAGUUGUGCCUUGUUCUCAGAUAGACAGCAAGUGGAGAGUGAUAUAUGAAAUGAUGGGAUGGAAGGAAGAAGAGAAGCAAAGAGUGAAUCACAGGCAGAGCCUAAAUUAUUUCUCACAGUUUUUUGUUGCCUUAUGGUUCCAAGCGCUGUCACCAAUCUUUGCAUUUUGUUAUUAUCUCAUGACACUUGUUUAAUCAGCUACCAUCUCUCCUAUGGACUUUUUAAUGUUUACAGUCUCAGAUCAACUCAGCCCUGCCCUCCAGCACUAUCCACAGCAACCCCUCAACAGCAACAUUGUACCUGUUCUGUCCUUAUUGUGCGUCCCUUUGCCCAACUUGACAGACAGCUAACGGUUUCAAUGAACAUUGGAGGCGGAAGUUAUAAUGAUGCAGCACCAGAAUUGAACCAGGACCGGAAAACUGCCCAAUCAUCUCAUCUUUGGAGCUCUUCAUUUUUAAAAAACACAACUAAAUUCAAAGUUUAUACUAGAUAAUAGCUUACUAUAUAAAGCUGUGUCUUUUUUUUAACAACAAGUUCACAUGUUAGCUCUCAGCACAACUGUGGAUAGAAAAAAAACAGAAAACUCAGGACAGGGAAGGAUCAGCUUUAUUUAAGUUUUGAGGGACAUUUGAUAGUUUUUGAUGAUGAUUUUCUCUAUGUGAUUACAUGAGCUUUCCCCAGAUUCAGACCUCAGGACCAACCAGUGAUAGACAAAAAUCAUUCUAUACUCUCGGAUGAAUACACUUAAUUGUUGUAAUGACAGAGUAAAUUUGUGUUAACUCCUAAAUUAACAGAUGAAAAAGGCAAAACUAUAUUAUAUGCUGUCAGUGAAAGUUGUAGCUGUUUUACUGAAAAUAUUAAAGACAAAACAUGAAAACUGAAUAUAUUAAUGUAACUGCUGUCACUACAUAUAUUCUUAUCUUUACUCAGUUUCAUCCUACUCUUUUCAUUC
ensembl:lncRNA